UUUCCCUGAGGACGCUGCAGGCAGUGUCAGAACUACGACUCCCAGGGGCCUCUGCGGCUUGGUGGCUCCUCCCCCCGCUGCCUGGAGCUCCAACAGGAGCCCAACGAACCCAACGGCGCCCGGGGGUCUCGCGCGGUCGGUUAAGCGGCUCUGCGAUCAGUAGAGGCCGGGCUGCAGUCCCUUACGCAUCCUCGGGACCAGGAAAGGGAGCGAUGAAGGCGCCGGCGCCCAGCCGCUCUGGCCUUCCGCCCGCGGCUCCAGCUCAGGGCCCCCGACCACUUCGGGCCACCUGGAGACCUGGCCGUCGGGAGUAUUAAAAGCGCCCCGGCCUCUCGGGAAGUGCGACCAAAGCCGACAGCGACUGGUGUCGAGGAAGAAGGGGGUCGUUUCAGGCUGUGACAUGGAAGCAGUUUUCUCGAGGAGGAAAGACGAGUUUUACAGACCGUUUGGUGACCGCGCCUCAGCUCUGCCCAGCGUUCACUCUACAAUUGCAGUGAGCACCUGUUAUGUGCAGCGAUCACAGAGAUGAGACCGACCAGAGCCUUACUGUCGAGGAACUGGACAAACAAGAACCCACAGAGGCCCCAGGCUGCUAAAAUACAUCCCAGAGGUCGACAAUCCAGGAGGUGCUUAGCAAAGGACAAGCCAGAGACACGCGGAGCUCAUCAGCUUCCCGGACCAGCUCCCUGGCAGUUGGAAGGCUGGGCAGACUCCCACGCGGUCCAGUCCCCACGCGCCCCCUGCCUUCCCUGGGCCCUAGAGCAGGGAGCUCACAGCGCAGAGGAUGAGACGGCGGUCUGUUGUCCCAGCGCGUGGCAGGGCCACGCAGCUCUGUUAUCUCAGUUUCUGAGGGUCGGGGAUCCAGCCAAGACCGGCUGGGGCUUCUGCCUCGAGGUCUUGCGAGGCUGUACCCGGGUGUCGGCGGGGACUGUGGCCCGUGCACAGGCUCCACCUGGAGGGUCCAGGCUCACUCACGUUGGCGGGAUUCGGCUCCUCACGAGCUACUAGGGGAACGUCAUCCUUUUCUCCAUGUUGCCGGAGGGCUCAAUCCGUUGGCCACGUGGGCCUCUUCAGAGCGCACCUCCCCGGGGGGACAGGCCCCCCGUGACCCCCGUCUGCAAUGGCAGCUUGUCCCUCUGUGCUGUUAGAUUCUGCUCACCCUGGGGGGCCUCGCAGGGUGCUCAUUCAGUGGGGGCCCCUGGGGGCCAAACCCCCGCCCCACUCUGUGCUCUUCCUACCAUCCCCCAGGCCUGGGUCUCCAGAGAUGGUCAUACUGUGUCCAGUGUGACAAUUGUGUGUUUUUCUCUCGUUUUAGAAACUGUAGCCUGGGCUGUCGCACCCUGAGAUAGAUGUACCCAGAGAGUUGUAGGGUGCGCUGUGGACACUGUUCUGUCCAUGCCGCCCCUGCGUCAGCCCUCCCCGGGCCUCUGCUUACUAGGUUUUCCCGCCUCCUCCGGGAGACAGAGCCGCUUUCCUUAAGCUCAGGAGCUGUUUGCAUUUUUAUCAGAGCAGGAUCAGGCCCCCAGUCUCCGCGGAGUGGAGGAGCAACAGGGGAAAUCCGAGAAGGAAGCAUAGGGGCCCGCACAAGCCACACAGUCAAGGCUUGAACCACAGCUAAAUCUCGGUGUUGGUGAGAGCCUGGGAAGAGCCUCCGCCAAGGCCUGGGCGCCCCGGGUGCCCCAGGAGGCCGAGCCAGAGGGGCUGGGUGAGGCAGGGCGGCCCCAGCCGCAUGGUGUCCCGAAGCUGCAUGGUGUCCCUGUCUGGUGUCCCCUGCCCAGGGCCCGCCAGGAGCUGGCACCUCAUGCUGUUUUUCUGUUUGUGGGCUGUGUAAGUUAAAAAGGACUGGCUCUUUCUUUACCGGCAAACCUGCCAACCUUGACUGCCCUGGCUUGACAAGAUGGAAGGAAAGGGGGAGGGAAGGCGGGAAGAAGGGCCCCAGGCCCCGCCCCUCGCCACCCCUCCCCUGGGCCAGCCCUGGGUCCUGCUUAUCCUCCCGGGCUCCAUCCAGCCCCUUGGCAUUUGACCACUCCACUCUGGGGACACUGUGCCCCAGCACUGACCCCUGGAGACACUCGGGCAAGGGGAGCCAGGCUCAGUCCCGGACCGGAGCAGCCCUCAGGUGGGCCAGCACUGGGAGCAAAAAGGAGAGGACUCAGCCCCUUUUUCCUCGACACGUUAUGGAAAUUUGCAAGCACAAAGUGGAAGGGAUUUUUCACUACACACCUGCACGCCCACUGCCGAUGAUCCCACUCACGUUUUACUAGACUGUUAUAUCUAGGCAACCAUCUUUUAAUUCAUUUUAUUUUUGAUGCAUUCAAAAUCAAUUUUAGCCUCAAAUGUGCUUGCCCCUACAUACUUAAGCAUGUACAUUAACUAGAGUUCAUUAGUGAUAGUCUUUUAAUAUAAAACAAUGAAAUGCCCGGCUUGUAAGUGAACAUUCACUCUUUUGACAAGUGUAUGCAUUCUUGUAACUCAGACCCUUAUCGAGAUACUGAGUGUUCCCAUUACCCCAGACUGGUUGACCCCCAGUCCACUCAGAGGCAACCACUCUGUGACCUCCUUGUGAUACUGGCACAAAGGUACUAAGUGAAGUCGCUCAGCCCUGCUCGCCUCUUUGUGAUCCCGUGGACUGUAGCCCACCAGUCUCCUCGUCCAUGGAAUUUUCCAGGCGAGAGUACUGGAGUGGGUUGCCAUUUUCUUCUCCAGGGGAUCUUCCCAACCCAGGGAUUGAACUCAGGUCUUCCCCAUUGCACGCAGAUGGUUUACCAUCUGAGCUACCACAGAUUUAAUACUGGAGCCUAAAGCAAAAGGGAAUUAUUUUUAAUGGCUAAUAUUUUUUUUCCCAGAACACCGAAGUAGUUAACAACCUGUUGAAAAAUGAAAAGUAGAUAUAUCAAAAUAGUUUAUUUAUACAAAAACCAACCAAUAAUCUUGCUUUCCUGGUUUUAGUGGAAAUGAACUCAUCAAUAUUUCCGAAGUCUACUACUUACCUUGUUUUGAAAGGAGAGAAUUGCCAUGCUAAUUUCUUUUGAUGAAGUGAUCUUAAUUUUUCAUUUACUGCAGCUUACUGAAGUGUCUUAUAGGAUGACAUGGUGACUGGGAAUGCUAACAACCUUCUCAAGGCCAUGUUCAAAUUGGAAAGUAUUGCACUAAACAAAUUUGUGAAUCAGCCUUAGAAGAUGCAAACACUAUUUAAUAACUGAUGCUGCAUGCUGCUUAAAACUAUAUCAGAUGGAUAUAUAGGAUUUAGGAUAUUUGAGUCAAGUAAGUGACUGCUUUGUGUAAGAGUUAUCCGUAGAAAACUUUUCUCCAUUUAAAAAUUCAAAAUGUAAGACACUUUUUCAUAUAAUCAUUUACAAUGUGAAAAUUAAGGCAUCUAUAGUUUCUUUAAUUUCUAUUUGAUAUGCAGUUUUAUAAUAAUUGACACUCAUCUAGUGAUUCAUUUCCAAUUUUUAUACUUUAAUUUUAAAAUUCAAGUGCAGCAUUGGUAAGAUAGUGGUGAGCAUAGCUGCCUUUCAUAAAGUUCAAACAGUAGCCCAUAUCUUUUGCUAAGAUUUCACAUUAAUCAAACAUUGAAAGUUUCUGUUAUUUCUAAGCAAAGGUAAAGGCCUUCUGCUAAGAGUACAACAAUGUAUAGUCUUUUUUUUUAAUUGUAUAAACAUUAACUUUUACACUGGUUUAUAAUAACAUCCUACACAGAUUGUAUAAAAUAAUGCAUUUGUGCCAAGAUGCUUUUGAUGUAUGCUUUUCAUUUAAUAUAUAUUUCAGUAUAAGUGCCUUUGUAUAUGAAAUACCUUGUUUACAUUUAAUCUUGAUCCUCACGGGAUAUCUGGAUGUGUUUUUAAUGUAGAUUUUAGAACAGACAUAAGAAUAUCCCAUCUGUGCAUCCAUUUUUAAAACUUCACACACAAAAUAUAUAUGUAUAUUAUAUGUAUCCAUAUACAUAUAUAUAAAUGCUAAAAAAUGGUUAACAUUUGAUUUCCCAGGGCAGCAUUUAUGCAUAUUUUUAUGAGCUGAGGAAGCACAAAUUUGGCAUAAUCAUAUUUGGGGGCAAAAUGUCUUAUAAACUCUUGUAUAACAGGCUAUAUUUUCUCCAUUAGACUAUACCUGGCCACAGGCAUUUUAAAUUUUAUUUCCAACCUCUAAUUUCAUAAGCUAGACUUAGAAAGUUUCAUCUUUCAUUUCAAUGAAGUCAGUACAACUUACUUUAUUGUUAUGACAUUGUUCUUCAUGUGAGCAGAUCUCGUGGUCAGACAUGCUUGUUCACGAUGGGCUACAUCUUGUGUACAAGCAAAAAAUAAAAAGUACUUGCUCCAUUAUUGACAGUAUUUCAGAACUCAUGUGAUUUGCUUGUAACAUGGUAUACUUGUUUUGAAUUUUAUUAGACCAGGCACAUGGAUUUCCAACAAUUUCCUGUGAUUCUCUUAAGAUUUAAAUUGUUUUCUUCAAAGUGUAACAUCUAAAACCACUCAAUAUAUUGUGAUUUUUGUUUCUUUGAUUUUGUCAUCUUCUGCAAAACAUCAUCUAUUAAACUGUCAGUUUGAAUAUUUUUCAGAAACACUUCCCAUUUUAGACAGCAUCACAAUGAGACAUCAAAUUUUCAAGGUCACAGCUUCUGUCUAAAUUUUUCUAAUAUUUGAAACCUUUUUCAUGGUUACAAAAAUUUGAUUCUGUUGUAUUAUUGUGGGGAAACAUGCACAAAAAAUAAAGACACUUGUGAAUAAA
ensembl:lncRNA